AUUUCAAUAGCUUAUAGUAAGAGCAUGAUAUUGAAGAUAUCAAGGAGAUUUUUUUAUCUUGAAGUA
rnacentral:tRNA from 1 species